GACGAACGCUGGCGGCGUGCUUAACACAUGCAAGUCGAACGGAAAGGCCCUGCUUGCAGGGUGCUCGAGUGGCGAACGGGUGAGUAACACGUGGGUGAUCUGCCCCUUACUUUGGGAUAAGCCUGGGAAACUGGGUCUAAUACUGGAUAGGACCAUGCUGUAUGUGGUGUGGUGGAAAGAUUAGUUUCGUUAAGGGAUGAGCUCGCGGCCUAUCAGCUUGUUGGUGGGGUAAUGGCCUACCAAGGCGUCGACGGGUAGCCGGCCUGAGAGGGUGGACGGCCACAUUGGGACUGAGAUACGGCCCAGACUCCUACGGGAGGCAGCAGUGGGGAAUAUUGCACAAUGGGCGCAAGCCUGAUGCAGCGACGCCGCGUGGGGGAUGACGGCCUUCGGGUUGUAAACUCCUUUCAGCCAUGACGAAGCCCUUGUGGUGACGGUAGUGGUAGAAGAAGCACCGGCUAACUACGUG
rnacentral:rRNA from 1 species